AAGUUAUUUUGUAUGUUGGUGACAAACUUCCUGUGCUGCAUUUUGUGGCUAUUGCCCCUUGUCCUGUCCCCACAAACCACUGGAAAGAGGCUGGCCAUAUCCCUUUGUUUCCCACAACUCAGGUAGGUAUAAACAUUGAUAAGAUCCCCCCUCAGUCUUCUUUUCUCAAGGCUGAACAGACCCAGGUCUCUCAGUCUU